UACGUAGGUGGCAAGCGUUGUCCGGAUUUACUGGGCGUAAAGGAUGCGUAGGCGGACAUUUAAGUCAGAUGUGAAAUACCCGAGCUUAACUUGGGUGCUGCAUUUGAAACUGGGUGUCUAGAGUGCAGGAGAGGUAAGUGGAAUUCCUAGUGUAGCGGUGAAAUGCGUAGAGAUUAGGAAGAACACCAGUGGCGAAGGCGACUUACUGGACUGUAACUGACGCUGAGGAAUGAAAGCGUGGGGAGCAAACAGG
rnacentral:rRNA from 1 species